GGUGCCUGGUCUCCAGCCUGAUCUACUGGAAAUCCUCCCUCUGGCUGAGCCACACCUGGUUCUUCUGUGUUUGCUGUGUUUAUGGAAUCAUGACUACGGCACCGGUGAGCAUGGAAUCCUCUUAAGCUCAGUGUGACGCACACAGGCUUACAGCACAGAAGAAGGGGUAUCCGUGCCAUGGUCGAUCUCAGCAGGACUGCAUCAGAAAGAUGACUCCACAUUUCUUCCUUGUUCUUCUUCUGUUACCUCUGCAAGUAUUCCCUGAAGGUAUACGCUGGGAGGCUGUCAUUGGCAUGGUUGCCAGACUGGGGUGUAAACACAGCAUGACACCUGUUCAGUCUGUUACCUGGGAGCUGAAUGGAACACAGAUAGUUUAUAAGGACAAGGCACAACAAAAAAUUAUGGAAGGAUACGAUUUGAAAGAAUCCGAAGGAAACGUGUACCUGAUCAUCAAGAACGUAAAGGAGAGUAAUGCUGGGAAUUACGUGUGCAGCGUUUUUCAAGUUGAAGGCGGAUUUGAACAAGUACAUGGGAAACUGCAUGUGAAAGCUUUCAGUACCAUGAUACAAAGCUCAUUAGCAGUGAUCUUAUCAGGACUGCUUCUUCACAUGGUUCUCCUGCAUCUUUAGAUACACUUGCCAUGUCCCGCUGACAGUGCAUUGGAUGGGCGGGCAGUGGUACGGUCCACAGCAAACAUUAAGAUGUCUGGCUAGCCUUCUUAAUUUCUCUCUCUCUCUCUCUCUCUCUCACUCCCACACACACAGUUUUGUGCAUUGUCAUUGACUGUUAUGGUUGAUAAUAUUCAGGGCCAUAGCUAGGGAGUUCUGGACCCCCUGAAAAAAUAUUGAUGUGGGGCCCCCACCACCCUGCGCCCAUAUUGUAUACAGUAUGGAGGCCCACAUCUACGGUGCCAUAGGGACCCUCUAACUCAUCUUUGGAAUGGGGUUGCGGGUCAGAUGACGCGAAAGUCAAAUCUGUUGGUGCAGAACAUAUUUUAAAAGUUUAGCAUAGUCGAUUUACUUGUAACAUAACAUGGUAAUGAUGUUAACACUUUUAUUUCAAAAGUUAAAUGUUUGUUUUGAUGUAAUAUUUAUACAAUGACAUUAAGUCAUUAAUAACUUCUUAUGAAACAUAGUUUAAAGUCCUCAAGCAAUUAUUCAAGACAAACUAAUAAAAUAAAAGACAAGAAAUUAAUAAAAUAGUGA
rnacentral:lncRNA from 1 species